AGGAUGAACGCUGGCGGCGUGCUUAACACAUGCAAGUCGAACGGUGAAGUGAGGAGCUUGCUCCUUGCGGAUCAGUGGCGAACGGGUGAGUAACACGUGAGUAACCUGCCCUUGACUCUGGGAUAAGCGUUGGAAACGACGUCUAAUACCGGAUACGACCUCCGAAGGCAUCUUGUGGAGGUGGAAAGAAUUUCGGUCAAGGAUGGACUCGCGGCCUAUCAGCUAGUUGGUGAGGUAAUGGCCCACCAAGGCGACGACGGGUA
rnacentral:rRNA from 1 species